rnacentral:rRNA from 1 species
UGCGUAGGGGGCAAGCGUUGUCCGGAUUUAUUGGGCGUAAAGAGCGUGUAGGCGGCUAGAUAGGUCCGUUGUGAAAACUCGAGGCUCAACCUCGAGACGUCGAUGGAAACCAUCUGGCUAGAGUCCGGAAGAGGAGAGUGGAAUUCCUGGUGUAGCGGUGAAAUGCGCAGAUAUCAGGAAGAACACCCGUGGCGAAGGCGGCUCUCUGGUACGUGACUGACGCUGAGACGCGAAAGCGUGGGGAGCAAACAGG